AGCAAGACAACAAGCACAAAGGCCUUUGCAGUUCCCACAUGAGCUGGUCCACGCCUGGUGGCUGUUGGUGGCUGGGGUCGUGACUGAACAGUGGAAACUUUAGUCCCAAGAACCGCAGAGCCAUGUCCAAGCUUGGCAUGGAAACCUCAGGGUUUUCCCUUCAAGUGAACUUCAAGGCUGGAAAAAUGAGCCUGUAAGUGGUGACCAGUGUAGGCCAAGGCAAGUGGACCCUUCCUGGGAAAUGCUGCCCUGCAAAGACUUCCUGAGCCUCUGCUGGACUGUAUGAGGUAGGAAGUAGAAGAAUCUCAGCCUGCUCAGCUCUGGAUCCUGACUCCACCCUGGGAUGCUCAGCUCCUCCCAACAGUACAGUGAGAGGAGCAGCUUUCAAGGUGAUUUCUCUGAAUUGAGGACAUGUCAGUCUCUGGAGAGCCCAUAGCCAGCAUCCUGGUUCUGGAGCAGAUGCGAUGGGACCAAUGUCAACAGCAGGAAAAAUAAUCCAGGCAUUUGGAUUUGCGCUUUUACAUCUGGACACACGACUCCCCUGAUACAGAGACAUAAUUAUCAUCAUAAUCAUGGUCCACACUCUGACCACUCCAGCCAAGAUCCCCAGCUUCUUCUGCAGCCCCACUGUGAGCUCGGCUUGCUGACAUUACCCAUGAGGCUUCAACCUAAGUAGGCUCAGUCUGUCCAAUUCCUCCUCCACGCCACUCAAUUCCCUCCCCAUCCAGUAAGUGACCCCGUCAGCUAAGGCUGACCAUUCUGUAUUUACACCUUCUUCUCAAAAGACCCCUUCUUCUCAAUAAGGAAUUAAGAGAUUCAGUGAAGCCAGAGCCAGAUCACCCUUCCAGGAGCACAUCAGGCAGCUCAUAGUAUCUCCAUCCAUGACUGUUUGUCAUUACCUCGCUUUCUGAAUCUUCGUCCAGCUCUCAAUCUGUGCAGACAGCUCCCUGCCAACCCAAUUUGAAUUAAUUUGUCAAGCAAAAUUUUGUGAAAUAAUAUAUCAGCUGCAUUACUGAAGUAAGAUCUAUGACUUCUACUGCAAUCCUUUCAUCUUCUACUCUAGCCAUUCCAUCAAUAAAACCAAUCAAGUUUUCUCGGCAAAUUUUUCUUAAUAAAUCAGCUUUAUGGGUCAUGGAUCCAUAUUCUUCUUGA